rnacentral:rRNA from 1 species
UACGAGGGGGGCAAGCGUUGUUCGGAAUUAUUGGGCGUAAAGGGUGCGUAGGCGGUUUGAUAAGUUUGGUGUGAAAUCUCUGGGCUCAACCCAGAGUCUGCACCGAAAACUGUCGGGCUUGAGUAUGGGAGAGGUGAGUGGAACUGCGAGUGUAGAGGUGAAAUUCGUAGAUAUUCGCAAGAACACCAGUGGCGAAGGCGGCUCACUGGCCCGGUACUGACGCUGAGGUGCGAAAGCGUGGGAGCAAACAGG